rnacentral:rRNA from 1 species
GACGAACGCUGGCGGCGUGCCUAAUACAUGCAAGUCGAACGAGAGCGACCGGUGCUUGCACUGGUCAAUCUAGUGGCGAACGGGUGAGUAACACGUGGGUAACCUGCCCAUCAGAGGGUGAUAACAUCCGGAAACGGAUGCUAAAACCGCAUAGGUCUUCGAACCGCAUGGUUUGAAGAGGAAAAGAGGCGCAAGCUUCUGCUGAUGGAUGGACCCGCGGUGCAUUAGCUAGUUGGUGAGGUAACGGCUCACCAAGGCCGUGAUGCAUAGCCGACCUGAGAGGGUGAUCGGCCACAUUGGGACUGAGACACGGCCCAAACUCCUACGGGAGGCAGCAGUAGGGAAUCUUCCGCAAUGGACGCAAGUCUGACGGAGCAACGCCGCGUGAGUGAAGAAGGUUUUCGGAUCGUAAAACUCUGUUGUUAGAGAAGAACAAGUGCUAGAGUAACUGUUAGCGCCUUGACGGUAUCUAACCAGAAAGCCACGGCUAACUACGUG